AUGCGGAUCCGCAGGUCUGCCGCCCGCCUGCUCGGCUCCGCCUACUCCGCCCCCGCGCCGCCGCAACCAGACCUCCCGCUUCCGCCCCCGCCCCCGCCCCCGCCCCCGCCCCCGCCGCCGCCAGUACUGGAGCCCUGCUCCUCCCACGCGGGGGGCGACAGGGUCACGGCCGGGGGGACCUCCUCCGCGGAGCGGUGCGAGCUCAGCCGGUCGCCGUGGGAGCUCAUGGCCCAGCUCGACCCCUCCGAUCCCAAGGAGGUGGAACACUUCAUGGGGAAAUACUUCGUCAGUGUCCCAUGCCGGACGAGCUGGCUCUUCCAGGCCAGCAUUCUUGCGGCCUCCAUCAAGGGGGAGGAACAAGAGGAGGACAUGGCCGGAGAUAUGGCUGACGAGGUCUUUGCCAAACAGCGGCAUAAGGUUGCCAAGAUGAAAAGGACAGUCAGGGAAAACAGAGGGGGUGAGAAGAAUGCGUGGGGGCUGAAGAAGGCCACGGAGGUUCAGAGUGAUGAGGACGAUUUCGUAGCUGCCGGAGGAGGAGAACUUUGGGUGUGCACCAAGAACGACGGCAAGAGGAGGUUUUGCCGGCUGCCGGUGAGCCAGCCCGAUUCCUUUUGUGUAUAUCACUCAGAUCCUAAGUCUGCGCUGCCGCCGGCUUCAUCAGCAGCCUCCAAACCCUCCAUCAGCGCCAAGCCACGUAAGAGGAGGCGUGUCGAUGCAGGUGAGGGGUACUUAUACUACGCUGGGUUCGGCCCGUCCCUCAGCAAGAGGCAGAGAUCAAGCAGCAAUGUACUAGAAUCUUUACCUGCUGAGCAAGAGGAGGAGGCACUGCCUGAAGAGCAUACUGCAGGUCCAGCCCAAACUGUUGAUGCAGACCAUCAAGCGGCAUCAGCACACGUUGAUGAGCCUAGGUGCGAUGAGAUGGCCGGGAUUGCGGGCGGGGACGAGGAGAGCAGCGACGACGCGCUUGGCUGCAACGAUGAACCCCGGGUUGUUGGCGUCAACGGCAACAUCAAGAGGAAGAGCCCGUUUAAGAAGAGGUGGAGGAAGCCUGUGAAAGCUCGCUCACUCAAGUCAUUGAUGUGUUAG
rnacentral:rRNA from 1 species